CCAUAUUAUAUCAAAGCCUGUUACAAUGUUAUAACAACAUUAUAGACUAUAUCUGAUUAUAUUACAUGAGAGAUUAAAUUCGACUAGAUCUCAUCACUUGGUGACUAAGAAAGCUGUCUGUCUUUGUCCUCUGCCGUGGUGUAUGCUGAUCCCGUUUGUGUAUUGGUGUUCAUCCCACACCCCACACAGUGUGCUUGCUCUGCUGCUCGGGCUGUGGGACGGAUGUGACCCAAUAACCAAGGAGUGUGUCUGUGACCCCUUUUGGACAGAGAACCUCAUUCGCCGGAUCUUUGGAGAGAGCAACUGUGGAGGAGGCGCACUAAGGUCGGGAAGAAAACCAAGUACACUAUACUGGACAACAUGGACGAACAGGAGAAAAUGGAGCUGAGGCCCAAAUACAACAUCAAACACAGGAGCACGGAGCACAACUCCAGCCUCAUGAUGUCAGAGCUGGACAGUGACCAGGACACCGGACCGACCGGUCCGGAGCAGAAACCGGACCAAUGCUCAGGCUUCCCGCAACGGGAACACCUACGGAUGAGCAGGAACACACAGAACUGGGGUGGUUAUUGUACAACAUGAGGGAAACCCACUCUUGGGAUUAUGGCCGGGGUGCACAGCUCGAGUGCCAUAGUGUCUGCUUGUUUUUGGUCUCGUCUUCUAUUCAAAUACUGGUUUCGACCAGAUGUGUACUUUCUAUGACAACUCAGCACCAGGGAGAUGUGAAAAUCCAAGGGCUGUAGGAUAGUAGAGUUGGGCAUCCCUGGAUUCUGGGAACUAACAGUAGCAUUAACUUUACAUGCAUACAGACGGUUUGAAUAAUUUGACACUAAGGAUGAAGGUGCUCUUUGUGAGGAGGUUCUGUGGCCUCACAUACUUCUACAGAUAACCAGAUUGGUGAAUGUACAUACAACUAUCCAUUAUGCAUACUAGUCUACCGACUACUACUGACCUUUAACUUUGCCUUGUUAUCCAAUGUUUUUUUACUGUAAUUAUUUUGUAGGAAAUGGAGACAAGCCCAACCCUGGUUGUGAGCAUCUGACGCCUCUCCUGUAAAUGUUUUGACAAAUUGGAUUUGUCAAAAUGGCUAGAUGGAAAAGUCUAAAUUCUUAUGUUUAGUACCCAAAGUCCAUCUUGUGAUGCUACUCGUGAAUCAUUUAAUCAGAAUCAAACUCAAUUUAUCUGUGAUCUCUAUGAGUGUCUUGGACUUUGACACAAUACAUCACAGCAUUAUAUUGUAUUUGACCUACUGUUUUGAGUUAGCACACUUGUCCUCCAAACUAGUAUAGUUUUGGUAUCUUUCUCAUUUUAAAGCUUCUUUAUGCUAAAUAAGCAUAAUGCGUCUUAUAAAUGGGCCCGAAGAAACAUAACCAGCCAUUUCAUGGGACAAGCCAUAAAGGUGCCAAAAUGCACUAUAAGCCUGUGGCUAACAGAGACCCUAUUAUAUCCAAGUACUUGGUAAUGCAUCCAUUCUUCCUUCCCUUGGCAAGAUCUAUUAUCUAACUUGAACAUGGUGGGUAACAUGCUUUCAAUCAUUAAUUCCUUUGCGUAAUGAUGGAUUUCCCCCCCCUCUCAUUCACUGUCAGAGAAUGUCUGAUUACAUGAGUAUAGUGGCAAAUAAUUAGGACACACAGCUUAAGGAUUAAGAAGAGGACAGAUGGAAUUGAUAAUUAACAUUACUUUGCAGGACAGGUAGCCAUUGAUGGAAUGGAUCAAAUACUUGACAUUAAACCAACAUAAGCAUG